rnacentral:rRNA from 1 species
UACCCGCAGCUCAAGUGGUGGUCAUUAUUAUUGGGCCUAAAGCGUCCGUAGCUGGCUUGUUAGAUGCCUGGGUAAAUCGAUGCGCUUAACGUAUCGAAUUCCGGGUAGACCGGCAAGCUCGAGACCGGGAGAGGCGUGAGCUACUCGAGGGGUAGGGGUAAAAUCCUGUAAUCCUUCGGGGAGGACCAGUGGCGAAGGCGUCACGCUAGAACGGCUCUGACAGUGAGGGACGAAGCCCUGGGGCGCCAAACCGG